CCCUUAGAUGUUCUGGGCCGCACGCGUGCUACACUGAGUGGAUCAGCGGGUCAGGUUGCGCGAAAGUGUUUCCUAAUCUUGAAAUCCGCUCGUGAUGGGGAUUGACGGUUGCAAUUUUCCGUCAUGAACGAGGAAUACCUUGUAAGCGCGGGUCAUCAUCCCGCGCUGAAUACGUCCCUGCCCUUUGUACACACCGCCCGUCGCUCCUACCGAUUGAGUGGUCCGGUGAGGCUUUGGGAUCUGAGCGGAAAGAGCGUUUCGCUGUUUCUGCUCGGAAAACUCAGCCGAACCUUAUCGUUUAGAGGAAGGAGAAGUCGUAACA
rnacentral:rRNA from 1 species